AGCGAACGCUGGCGGCAGGCCUAACACAUGCAAGUCGAACGGAACCUUCGGGAUUAGUGGCGGACGGGUGAGUAACACGUGGGAACGUGCCCUUUGGUUCGGAACAACUCAGGGAAACUUGAGCUAAUACCGGAUGUGCCCUUCGGGGGAAAGAUUUCUCGCCAUAGGAGCGGCCUGCGUCUGAUUAGCUAGUUGGUGAGGUAACGGCCCACCAAGGCGACGAUCAGUAGCUGGUCUGAGAGGAUGAUCAGCCACACUGGGACUGAGACACGGCCCAGACUCCUACGGGGGGCAGCAGUGGGGAAUCUUACGCAAUGGACGAAAGCCUGACGCAGCCAUGCCGCGUGAAUGAUGAAGGUCUUAGGAUUGUAAAAUUCUUUCAGCGGAGACGAUAAUGACGGUACCCGCAGAAGAAGCUCCGGCUAACUUCGUG
rnacentral:rRNA from 1 species